UACGUAGGGGCCUAGCGUUGUCCGGAAUUACUGGGCGUAAAGGGCGCGUAGGCGGUUCGUUAAGUCCUGUGUGAAAUCCCCCGGCUCAACUGGGGAACUGCACAGGAAACUAGCGGGCUUGAGUUCGGGAGAGGGAAGCGGAAUUCCGGGUGUAGCGGUGAAAUGCGUAGAUAUCCGGAGGAACACCGGUGGCGAAGGCGGCUUCCUGGACCGACACUGACGCUGAGGCGCGAAAGCUAGGGGAGCAAACGGG
rnacentral:rRNA from 1 species